GUGGUUAUCCCCAAGCAUGUUAAACCUAACGCCCUAAACUCACUAAAAUGUAUAUGAAGAUGUAUACUACGAGUUGUGUAUUUAUAUACAAAUGACAUAGUAAAAGUUCUAUGUUAAUUAUAAGAAGGAAAGGAGGUAAGAUAGGAAUAAGGAAUAAGAAUACUAUCUCAUGCUUUUU
ncrna:unclassified sequences RAGATH-9 RNA